GUUUCCAUUUAGGAGUUAUUAUCUGUCCUGGAAUGCUGAGUGUUUUCCUGCUGACUGGACUCAUCACCCUCGGUGUUUACUAUCAUGUUUCAGCUACAAAUCUCUCUGCUGAGUCUAACAAGCUUUCCGCUGUAACUGAAGAGAGAGACCUGCUGCAAGCCAACCUCACUGAAAGGACCAAAGAGCUGGAGAGACUGCAGAGUUUGUUCAAGCAGAAGACAACAUGUCCUGCAGGAUGGCGCAAGUUCAGCUGUAGCUGUUAUCUCCUGUCUAAAAGCUCUGGUUCCUGGCAUUCAGCUAGAAAACACUGCA